UUGCCGUCUCCUGCCACGAAUGGUCUGGUCGCUGUCUUCUUCUGAGGACCUAACCCAAGACGGUAGGUAAGUGCCAGCUUAAAGUCUAUCUAAAGGCGGACCACCACUGUCCACCUGGGCGGCGAUGGCGACCGCCGCGAGGGAGAGGCGCCUGCCGCCGGCGCUGCCCCUGGCGACUCUCAUCGGCCGGGAGCUCCGCGCGGGGGGCUCCGAGCGCCCGGCCCUGCGCUACGGCCACGCCGGCUUUGCCAAGCGUGGCGAGGACUACUUCCUCGUCAAGCCCGACUGCCUCCGCGUCCCCGGGGACCCCGCAUCCGCGUUCUCCGUCUUUGCCGUGUUCGACGGCCACAACGGCGUGUCGGCGGCGGUCUACAGCAAGGAGCAUCUGCUCGAGCACGUCAUGAGCGCGCUGUCGCCGGACAUCGGCCGCGAAGACUGGCUGCAGGCGCUGCCGCGCGCGCUCGUCGCCGGCUUCGUCAAGGCCGACAUCGAUUUCCAGCGCAAGGGGGAGGUGUCCGGAACCACGGCGACACUGGUGGUCAUCGAUGGGUUCACGGUCACGGUGGCGUCGGUGGGUGACUCGCGCUGCAUCCUGGACACGCAGGGCGGCGAGUUGCAGCUGCUAACCGUGGACCACCGCCUGGAGGAGAAUGCAGAGGAGCGGGAGCGCGUCACGGCCAGCGGUGGGGAAGUAGGCCGGCUCAAUCUCUUUGGCGGCCAGGAGGUCGGCCCUCUCCGGUGCUGGCCUGGUGGCUUGUGCCUCUCAAGAUCCAUCGGGGACAUGGAUGUUGGAGAGUUCAUUGUGCCCAUUCCACAUGUCAAGCAAGUCAAGCUAUCAAACACCGGAGGAAGACUGAUAAUAGCAUCUGAUGGCAUAUGGGACGCGUUGUCCAAUGAAGCAGCUGCAAAAGCAUGCAGAGGAUUGCCUGCAGAACUGGCAGCGAAGCUUGUCGUUAAGCAAGCUCUGAAAACAAGCGGGCUAAAGGAUGACACCACCUGUGUCGUAGUUGACAUUAUCCCGUCCGAUCAUCUGACAUCGCCACAAUUGUCUCCAAAGAAAAAUCAGAACAAGUUGAAGUCACUUUUUCGUAGAAGGUCGCAUAGUUCAGUUAGAAAGCUUGGAGGCAAGUCUGCCUCCAUUGGUUCCGUGGAGGAGUUAUUUGAAGAAGGGUCUGCAAUGCUAGAAGAAAGCUUAUUUUCAGCUUCUUCACAAAUUUAAGCAGAAGUUCUGCCAAACAGCCAGCUUCUACAGCAGCUUAUUAGUUCAGCUGCUUCUCAGAAUACACUAAAAGCAGCCAACAAGCAGAAGCUGCCUUUCACCAGCUUCUCAGAUAAGCUGCUUUUUCAACAAGCAGCAGUUGUGCCAAACAGGGCCUUUUAUGUAACAUAUAAUGUGUGGGAUGACAAGUUUGUUCAUAAACUAGAGCAGCGAUGGUGUUUUACUUGUAUUUUCUGUAUUAAUGACGAGAGCGUUUAGCUGAACUUGGUGUGCUACCAUGACCUUGGUAUCAAUCUUAGGAGUGCAAGUUGGGUAGGAAUCUGUCCUUGAAAGCAGCUUCACCACCUUUCCGCUGUGCAAUCUGCCAAGUGGACCAAGAGCCCUUCCAAGAUUUGAUGGCAGAUAAUGGAGGUGGUUACUGCUCUUCCCAGUACGCUCCAUGGGGUGGCCCAUGUCUCUGUUUGGACUGUCGGAAAAAGAAAGAUGCAAUGGAAGGAAAAAGAUGUAGCCGCUCUACAGCAUGCAGGUGAAACAAUCAAAAUGCUGAGAAAAAGGAGCAACGAGAGACACUAAGGACGUGUUUGGUUUGCGAAUUCAGUUGAUCCGGCAUGAGCUGCUCCUGCAUGAGGUCGUCCGAUGUUUUUCUGGGAGUGAACCGGUGCUGCAUAAUUGCACUUCUAACGAGCACUACAUGGAGUAUCUGAUGUCGGACGACACAGAUCUAUGAUGUAAACCAAACAAAUAUAUUAGGUUCGGAUAUAGGAUCGGAUGAUUCCGGAGACCGUUGUCCGGCAAACCAAACACGUUGUAAAUUAAAUCGCUGGAUCCAAGAGUAUGCUGAAACUAACUGUAUUGACGACCAAGGUUUGAUGUUGUUGAGCUCAAAUAACUUGAGCUUGUAGUUUUGAUGUGCCCUGUAGUGUGCCUUGUGAUGGUUUUUGUGGGAAUAGGAAACAUGUAAAAUACUCCUUGUGUUAUUGCUGAAUUAGAGCUGUUGAUUUUUUUAAUAAAAAAAAUUACAUAGA